CAGCCGCCGCGGUAAUACCGGCGGCCCGAGUGGCGGCCACUAUUAUUGGGCUUAAAGCGUCCGUAGCCGGGUUGGUUAGUCUCCCGGGAAAUCUGGCCGCUUAACGGUCAGAAUUCCGGGAGAUACUGCCAGCCUAGGGACCGGGAGAGGCCGAGGGUAUUCCCGGAGUAGGGGUGAAAUCCUAUAAUCCCGGGAGGACCACCUGUGGCGAAGGCGCUCGGCUGGAACGGGUCCGACGGUGAGGGACGAAGGCCAGGGGAGCAAACCGGACUAGAUACCCGGGUAGUCCUGGCGGUAAACGAUGCGGACUUUGUGUCGGACAAGCUAUGAGCUUGUCCGGUGCCGGAGGGAAACCGUUAAGUCCGCCGCCUGGGGAGUACGGCCGCAAGGCUGAAACUUAAAGGAAUUGGCGGG
rnacentral:rRNA from 1 species